UCUUAAGGUUAGGGUUAGGGCUGUAACUUUCGGGUUUUUAAAUGGUGAUGAUGAUUCCAAUGGUGGAAAUGAUGUGUAUGAUGAGUAAAUUGAUGAUUUAAGUUAAGUCUAAUGGUUGUAUUGAUGUAGGAUGAAAGUUUUGAAUUAUGUGUGAUGUAUAUGUUAAGGGUUUUGAGGAUUGAUUUGGGGAUUUUUAUGUGUUGAUGGUCAUCGGUGUUCUUGAGUUGAAUUGAAUCAAAGUUGAUAGUAAAUUUGAGCUUGAAGUGUUUGGCCAUGAUCAACAAUCCAAGACUCGAAAAAGCGACUAUCGAUAAGGCUCGAGGGGAACGGAUCGAGAUGUCUUCGUGUUUAUUUGAAGAAUUUGGAUAGCAAGUGGGAUAGUAUGAUAUGAUUUGAAGAGUUAAGCUUCCAAAGUUUUAAUUCUCGGAAGUCAUUUGCACAAGAAGUAAAAGAAGGUUUUCAUUCUAGCGGUCCGCAGUAGUCUAGAUGUUUUUAUCUAUGUAUUUGUAUAACGCAUUUUCACUCUGAUGUUUUUGUAAAAUGGGGUCACAUGUAUUUUGAUAUAUGAAAUAUGAUUUGAUUUGCGAAAAAAAUUUACACAGGUUUUUAGGCUUGCUACGGGUUUCGGAGCUACCACUCCCAUUCCCUAGUGCCGG